rnacentral:tRNA from 1 species
UUGGUCUUCUACUACCAGUAUAUUUCACCUUUAUCUAGAAUUUUAAGUUAUUUAAACUAAAAGCCUUCAAAGCUUUCUAAAAAAGUAUUAACCUUUUAAAUUCUA